AGUGGCGCACGGGUGCGUAACGCGUGGGAAUCUGCCCUUGGGUUCGGAAUAACAGUUAGAAAUGACUGCUAAUACCGGAUGAUGACGUUAAGUCCAAAGAUUUAUCGCCCGAGGAUGAGCCCGCGUAGGAUUAGCUAGUUGGUGUGGUAAGAGCGCACCAAGGCGACGAUCCUUAGCUGGUCUGAGAGGAUGAUCAGCCACACUGGGACUGAGACACGGCCCAGACUCC
rnacentral:rRNA from 1 species